GACGAACGCUGGCGGCGUGCCUAAUACAUGCAAGUUGAGCGCUGAAGGUUGGUACUUGUACCAACUGGAUGAGCAGCGAACGGGUGAGUAACGCGUGGGGAAUCUGCCUUUGAGCGGGGGACAACAUUUGGAAACGAAUGCUAAUACCGCAUAAAAACUUUAAACACAAGUUUUAAGUUUGAAAGAUGCAAUUGCAUCACUCAAAGAUGAUCCCGCGUUGUAUUAGCUAGUUGGUGAGGUAAAGGCCCACCAAGGCGAUGAUACAUAGCCGACCUGAGAGGGUGAUCGGCCACAUUGGGACUGAGACACGGCCCAAACUCCUACGGGAGGCAGCAGUAGGGAAUCUUCGGCAAUGGACGAAAGUCUGACCGAGCAACGCCGCGUGAGUGAAGAAGGUAUUCGGAUCGUAAAACUCUGUUGGUAGAGAAGAACGUUGGUGAGAGUGGAAAGCUCAUCAAGUGACGGUAACUACCCAGAAAGGGACGGCUAACUACGUG
rnacentral:rRNA from 1 species